UACGAAGGGAGCUAGCGUUGUUCGGAAUUACUGGGCGUAAAGGGCGCGUAGGCGGUUUAGCAAGUUGGAUGUGAAAGCCCAGGGCUCAACCCUGGAAUUGCAUUCAAGACUGUUUUACUUGAAUUCGGUAGAGGUGAGUGGAAUUCCCAGUGUAGAGGUGAAAUUCGUAGAGAUUGGGAAGAACACCGGUGGCGAAGGCGGCUCACUGGACCGACAUUGACGCUGAGGCGCGAAAGCGUGGGGAUCAAACAGG
rnacentral:rRNA from 1 species